UACGAAGGGGGCAAGCGUUGUUCGGAAUUAUUGGGCGUAAAGGGAGCGUAGGCGGUUCGGCAAGUCUUUAGUGAAAUCUCUGGGCUCAACUCAGAGUCUGCUGGAGAAACUGCCGGGCUGGAGUAUGGGAGAGGUGAGUGGAAUUCCCGGUGUAGCAGUGAAAUGCGUAGAUAUCGUGAGGAACACCAGAGGCGAAGGCGACUUCCUGGACAAUUGCUGACGCUCAGGCACGAAAGCGUGGGGAGCAAACAGG
rnacentral:rRNA from 1 species